rnacentral:rRNA from 1 species
CCUACGGGAGGCAGCAGUGGGGAAUAUUGGACAAUGGGCGAAAGCCUGAUCCAGCAAUGCCGCGUGAGUGAUGAAGGCCUUAGGGUUGUAAAGCUCUUUUACCAGGGAUGAUAAUGACAGUACCUGGAGAAUAAGCUCCGGCUAACUCCGUGCCAGCAGCCGCGGUAAUACGGAGGGAGCUAGCGUUGUUCGGAAUUACUGGGCGUAAAGCGUACGUAGGCGGUUAUUCAAGUCAGAGGUGAAAGCCUGGAGCUCAACUCCAGAACUGCCUUUGAAACUAGAUAGCUAGAAUCUUGGAGAGGUGAGUGGAAUUCCGAGUGUAGAGGUGAAAUUCGUAGAUAUUCGGAAGAACACCAGUGGCGAAGGCGACUCACUGGACAAGUAUUGACGCUGAGGUACGAAAGCGUGGGGAGCAAACAGGAUUAGAUACCCUGGUAGUCCACGCCGUAAACGAUGAUAACUAGCUGUUCGGGCUCUACGAGCUUGAGUGGCGCAGCUAACGCAUUAAGUUAUCCGCCUGGGGAGUACGGUCGCAAAGAUUAAAACUCAAAAGUUAAGUUAGUAGNGNGNGAGNGCGCGACGACGACGAGGAGGAGGAG